GCUCUGGUACUGGUACCGAGAUAUGGGCUACGCGGCUUUUUUAAAAGCUGAUGUUUCUCAACAAAAAUGGUGUCUGACAGGAGAACAUCGGUGCUCCUACCCCCAGGAUGACCCUUCCACUGUGCUCCCCCCCCCCAUGCAACCUUAGCCACUAUACCAACCAACCAAUCAGCUUCUCAAUCUCUGCAUUCUCAUCCCCGCCCAUAUUCCAGUGACCGCCCUCACAGCAGUCAGUUGAUCUCCAGAAUGUACACCAAAUUGUAGGAACUGCCAGGGAUCAAGGUCGCAUUCCUGAAGCGCAGCACCCCGGGCCAUACCAGGAUGCACAUACUUAAGAGACGUUCUGUGAUUCAAAUCGCUCCAGAUACGUGGAGAUGGCCCACCAAAGGGCAUCAAUCCUGAGGGACAGAUUAAUCAAACAACGUGCAGGUGGUACAAGAAGGCCUGGGCUCAUGAAGUCCAUAAAGACGCACAUGGUGGAGAGUAAGGCAACCCUGAAAGGUAGCAACACAAAAGAUUAGUUGCAGCAUUCGUUUGUCUCACCCCAUCAGUCUGGAAGGCAGUAUUUACCAAGAUCCCAACAUAACAAUUACCAGUACAAGAGGCCGGUUCCACGACAUUUGCUUUGGCGACAAUUGCUCCGAUAGGAAAUCUGCUUAUCAAGCCAAACAUAAAAUCUAACCUCCAAUACUUAAUAAACCAUAAUUCGUAUCUUUACAUUAUUCUGAACUCUAGUUCAAUCCUGACUCUAUCCCUGUGCCCUCUGAGAUAUUAAAACCGGAGUAAUUGUCUCAGGAGCAAAUGUUGUGUCACCAAGAAGCCUUCGGAUGAUCCCUUCUUCCUGAGCGUCAGUGGAUCUACCAUUGGGCAACCUGGGGCAAGCGUUUAACAGAGAUGGAAGAUUGGAGGAAGGAUGGGACACUUUCAACCCACCAACCUUUGUAAACCAGUGGCUAGAGAGGGGAAUAAAAGCCACAGGAGAGGGAGCCAAGCAGCGGUGCGUGCAUCAACAUGACUAGUGAAAACGAUGAAAGGGGUUGGAACAGGAUGGAAACCAACAACAUGAGCAUUAAAAACAGGAACAGAGUGCUAUCCGCAAGAGCAAAGCCCUGGAAUCCAAGGUUCAUCUGGCAGAAGUCACCAAACAGGAACAACGCAACAUGGAGCUAGAUUAUGAAGGAUUUGUCGUCAUGCUGAAGGAUGAACUCAACAAACUCAGGUCAAACGUCUGAAAGAUGCCUAGAAAUAUGCCACCAUAUCCAGUGUCAUGUCACUCAGUGCAAGACAUGGAUACACUCCUAAUCAAUGCUCGCCAUCUUCAAAGCAUUAACAUGAGAGAGAUAGUCUAUCAAAGCCAAGGACAUGACACCAAUCUUGAAAUCAUCCUCUCCAAGUAGUGUCUGGUGUGAGCAGCUAUUGGUAUUUAUGUGAUGCUAAAUAUCUAAAUGCUCUAUUAAAAAAAAAAAUUAUUAGAAAAUAUAUUUUUAAAUAUGUCUGAUGAUGACUUUGUGUAGCUCCAAGCAACAGGUCCAAGCUAUUAUCUCUUUGUUACAGUUUAAUGUAUAUUUGAAUUAUCUGUGGUUUCUUGAAUAGAUGCAUACUAUGUAUGGCUUUAUUAGUAGGAGUAAAGUGUAAGGUAGCAAAUUAUUUUUACUAUUAGGCUGAGAAUUGAGGUGGUGCGAUGAUUAAGUUUAUAUAUUUUUUUAGUUAACUUAGUUUGUAACUUUGUUUUGAUGAAGUUAGUAUUUGUGUGUAUUUUGUGUUGACAAUUCUGCAAAAGUGGAUCCAAAGGUUUUCCAGAGUUUUUCCAUCUUGUGUUUUAUCUCUGUUUUUUUACCCUGGAUCUACUUGUCGUAGAAUUGUGUAGCACCCCCCCAAAAAAAAAAAUUGUACACAAUACCCGUAUACAUACUUAUUUUUCCAUGAAUGUUACUAAUAUUUCUGUCAAAUUUCAUGAAUAAUUACACCAAGAAUGUUUAUUUUCAUUUUUUUUUUAUAAUUAGAGAUUUCAAAUUCAUAAAAUACCAUGUAGUUUGUGUUCUUAAAAUUUAACCUAUUUGAUUAGGCCUAUCAGCAACAAUCAGAGUUUGUUAUUAGCUAAUUUAACCAAUUCAUGUUCAUGUCAAAACAAUUUUAGUAUCGGCAUAUGUAAUGAAAUUUUAUAUUUUUGUUAGGAAUUAAUAAUGUCAUUAACAUCAUAAAAAAACUAUUAACAAAGGUCCAAGUAUGCUUCCUUACAGGAUAUGCUUUUUCAUCACAUGUUAUGGGCAAAAUAUUAGAUUAGAAUUAUUAUAAGAUGAAAACUAAAUCCCUCACAAAAUGUUCCACAAGUUUGGCGGAUUACAUAUUUCUUGUUACUGAACUGUUAAAAUCCAAAUCAGUAUUAUUGGUUAGCCUCAUUAUUCCUCAGUCAGGUGUCGGGUGUAAGAAGGGAAAUUGUGCAAAAUGAUUU